rnacentral:lncRNA from 1 species
UAUUGCUGAUUUUGUUCCUAUGAGUCUCUUUCAUCUUCAUAUAGGUCUUUUAUUGCAUCUUUAGCUUCUAUCUCUAUUUUCUCGUACUGAAAGAAUGCUAUGGUAGAUCCAAAAUGGAAGGAGACAAUGCUUAAGAAGAUGAAAUCUUUGGCCAAAAAUAAUACAUGGGAGCUUGUUUCAUUACCUACUGAAAAACAAGCUGUCAGCUGCAGAUAGAUUUUACAGUAAAACAAACUCCGGAGGGGACU